GAUCAAGUGCAUGGCAGUAUCAUAACCAAUGAAGUUAAUCUGAGGUGUGAUUAUUGCUAGUUGAAAACUUUUCCCAAUACACUACUCCUUAUUCCUUUUUUGUUAUCAUCAUGUUUGGACAGUUUGUCCAUCCCCAAUCAUGGUG